rnacentral:tRNA from 1 species
CUCAGUGUAGCAUAGUGGUUAAGAAACAGGGCUUGUAACCGAAAGGUUGCGGUUCGAUUCCCCGCUGGGG